rnacentral:misc_RNA from 1 species
GAGAGAGAGAGAGAGAGGCAGUAGUACUAAACUAGAAGAUAGGGAGAGGGAGAGGGCAUUAGUUUUGUGGGAUUGGUGGUUUAUUUUUUUUACUGAGUCCAUUGUAUAGCUAUUGACUAGACCCUUAAUCCAUAAUUAAGGGUAUAAUUAAUUUUUGGUCAUAUCUUGAAUAAUCUUUAAUUAAUGGGGUUUGAUUUAGUUUCUUGGAUAAGCUAAUGGCAUAAUAAGGUAAGGUUACUUUCUUGUUUUGGACAGGCCAAUGGCAC